rnacentral:lncRNA from 1 species
AGAGAGAGAGGCAGGCUGGGUCCGCCUGGCAGCCUACGGGAGGAGGCGGGAGCCGGGAAGGAGGGGAGCCUAGGCCCGGCGUGGGGAGGCCGGCAGGAAGGGCCUCGAGCCCAGUGCGGACCUUUCUUCAGCCUCUGUGCGACCGAGCCGCGCGCCAGGCUCCUGUGCGAGGAGGACGCGCUGACUCCCUCCGACCUGGGCUCCGAUGGAGCAGAAAUAGCGGGACCUGGACUUGUGGCGCGCCUGGUGCCACAUCUCGGGCUCUGCGAGCGUCCUGGCGCGGGAUCCUGCCGUUUGCAUCCAAGAGAGGGGAGGACAGGGGCAAAAGGAUGCAGGGAGGCUGCUGAUUUCCACUGAAGAGCUAAUUUCCUGUGAGACAUUAACAGUGAUUUAAGAAAAAGAUUCCUGUAACUGUAAUGUCUUACAAUAACAGAAUGCAGGAGAGCACAUAUCAAUGAAGAAAAGACAAAAUGUACUUAUCCAUGAAGCUGAGGUUAAGAAACCAGUGUCUUCAAGAGCCAGGGACAGCACUGGGUCUGUGCAGAGUUGAGAGAUGGUGAUGACAUGUGGUUUCCAGCAUUCCUCACCCAGUCCAGGGACACUGUGGGUGUGCCCAGCUUAAGUCCAGUAACUGGAAAUACAAGCCCAAGUUCUGGAGAGUUUGAGCUGCAGAGAUAUAUAUGGGAACACUUUGAAUCUUGACUCAUUGGCCAUAACCAGCAGAGUGGAAAAUACAAGAAGAGAAAAAAACAUUGAACUGCGAUUUUAUAACAUCCUUUACUAGGCAGAGAGAAGAGGAAACACCAGGAAAGAAAACUGUAUUACGAUGUGAAAACUUAAUGUUGAGAAAUUCAGGCAUCUUGGGGUUAGUGAGGAGAAGUUUUAGGGGCUUAGAUUCUUCUAAACACAUGUACAGAAAUGCAUAUUUCAUCUGAUAUCAAAUGGCAUUUAUAGUGCUAAUCUUUACCUCAAGACUUCACAUCUUUUGGUGAUUGCAUCUUUUAGGUUUAUAGCAGCUAAGUUUGCAUGAAAACACCAGGGCUGUUUCAUUUCAGUCAAGAAUUAAUGUUCAUUGAUUGUGCUUCUGCAUUUCAUGUAACUAUUGUAGAAUUUGUUUUAGUUUUAUGAGGGAAUAAUUGUUCCAACUUCUAUAUAACUCAGGAAUUUACUCUCAAACAACACUGUCAAUUAGUUACUUAUCUCUCUGGAAAUGAUCUGGGAACAUGGAGAGGAAAGGGAGGAAGGGGCAAAAUCUGACCACUUAAAUCUAAGCAUAUUAGAUCAUUUUAUGCUAGAAAGUCCUGAAUGAUGUGACUUUCGUUCUUGUAAAACACCUCUUUCCAUAGAUUCAUGGCCCAAACAGUAUAUAAAGAGUGGGGAAGGAACUGCAUUUGCAAAUAGUUCAAAUCAUUGCUCCAUCUUAACUACGCAGUUCACAAAGUGUGAAGAAAUGUGAUCAUCUCAAAAAAGAUAAUGGGGAAAAAAUAUGUUUUGUUCUGUGACUUUAAAGUCUUGCAAUAUUUUACAUAAAUGAUAAUGGGUGCUUUAAUAAGAACUCUUGAUACUUUUGUUAUUGUAUUCAAUAUAUGCAUAUAAUACAACAGGAUGAUAUUGUUUUGGAUUUGGAAAUGUAUUCUUUCUUAUGCAAUCUUAUGCAGUCAUACUGCUUGAAUAUCAUUACCUGAAUUUAUCUUUCUUUUUUUUGUUGUUGUUUUACACUCUACUUAUUUGGUGCCUGUCAGUCUUUUGUCGUCAGUUUAUAUUCUACUAAACUCAAAAAGACAAUCUCAUACCUUUUGUAAUUGUAGGCAUUCUUUACUAGAUUUUUAAAUACACUUCAAAAAUUCAAGUACUUUGAUUUCAUGCCAUCAAGUAGCUGAAUCUAUCCCCCCGUCUCUUUUUAAAUUUAAGUGAGUAGUUCAAUUUCUGUCACUUUCUACUUUGUGAAUUCUAAAUCUUUUAAAACCAUCUUGCCAUUUUUCGUGCACUUACCCUUACAGAAAACUCUGUGAAACACUACUUAUCUCUACUUUUAUGUUUUUAACUCCUUUUUUAUAUUACUAUUCCCUCUGCUUUCUAAAUGCACAUAUUAAUUUGUUCUUUUUAUUCUCUGUAGCUCUUCUCAGUGUAUGAAUUCAGUUUCCCAUCAGUCUCCAUACAAUUAAAAAAAAUGACAGAGCUCCUUGCUGCUCAAAUUUUAUGCCAGAUAAAAUAUUCACCUUCUCGGACUCCCUGGCACCAGGCAUGGCCAUGUAAUCCUACAGCACAGCUGAUGAAAGAGAAGACAUCUUGCUGCUAUUUGACAAGCAAGAAGAUAAAAGCUUUCCUAUAAAGAUGAUGGAGCAAAAAAAUAGAAGGGGCCUAGACUCCCUACCUUCACACUUCCUGCUAUAAAAGCAUUGCUAUUAUAAGGUUAAUCUGCAGAAACAGACUUCUAUGUCAUAUGCUUAAAUGCAUCAAAAUUCAUACAAUAUCCAUUAAAUUGGUAAAAGUAUCCAUUUUAAAGGAUUAAUCUGAGGGACCCACAGACACUUAACACAAUCAAAUCUCAGAAAAAAAAUCAGUUAUUUCAUUGUGAUUUUGAGGCUGAUCUUUUAUGAUCUUUUAGUUAUCAAACUGUUAAAUACAUUUUAACUUUCAAAUUUUAUGAAUAAAGGAGAUGAAUCCUGUUAUUUUCUCAGUGUGAGUGUGAUGAUGUGUGUCAUAUGUGCCUAUGUAUGCACACACAUGUACUCAAGGAGCCUGAAAGGGACCAUGACUUUCUGGGCACUCAAUGCUACUUAUCUCUAACUCCUCCUUCAAAUGUCCCCAUUCUAAGUCUACUUCCUUAGGGAAUAGGUACAAAUAUA